GGGAAAGUUUUUGUUUUCACUGAAAUGCUGAGAAAAUUUUUAUUUACACGCAUAAUAAAGCAAAAUCAUAUUCAAUUAUAACACUUAAAGACCAUGGAAAGUUUGGAUAUUAAUUUUAAUACAAACGAAAUGGGCCUUUUUUUUUAAUUCCGAGCAAAGAACAGAAGAUAUUGGUUAUAUAAAAUUAUGUGAUAUUUGUUAAUACUUUUAUACUAAUAAAGCUCUGAAAAUUUCACAUUGGCUUUCAUUGUAUAAUAAUGACCGAAUUUGUAUU